rnacentral:sRNA from 1 species
CUUGUUUGAAGAUACAAAGCCAAAGACUCAUACCGACUUCGGCUACACCAUCAAAGCUUUGUGAGGCAAUAAGAAGCUUGGUUAGUUUUUCGGAAUCAAAUAUGGCUAGAUGUCAUGUGUAUGAUUGAGUAUAAGAACUAGAACCGCAACUAAUUCCCAAAAGCUAAAUUAAUGUUUCCUUGUUAGAAGAUACAAAGCUAAAAACUCAUACGGACUUCGGCUAAGCCAUUCAUGUUUUGAGAAGCAAUAGGAAGCUUGGUUAUUUUUUUGGAGUCAAAUAUGACUGAUGUCAUGUGUAUGAUUGAGUAUAAGAACUAGAACCGCAACCGUUUCCCAAAAGCUAAAGUAGUGUUUCCUUGUUAGAACAUACAAAGCAAAAGAAUCAUAUGGACUUCAGCUACACCAUCAAAGCUUUGAGGAACAAUAAGAAAAGCUUUGUUAUGGUUUUGGAGUCACAUAUGACUAGAGGUCAUGUGGAUGAUUGAGUAUAAGAACUAGAACUGCAACUGGUUCCCAAAAGCUAAAGUAAUGUUUCCUAGUUAGAAGAUACAAAGCCAAAGACUCAUACGGACUUUGGCUACACCAUCAAAGUUUUGAGAAGCAAUAAGUAGCUUGGUUAGUAUUUUGGUGUCAAAUAAGACUAGAUGUCAUGUGUAUGAUUAAGUAUAAGAACUUUAACCACAACUGAUUCCCAAAAGCUAAAGUAAUGUUUCCUUGUUAGAAGAUACAAAGCUAAAAACUCAUACGGACUUCGGCUAAGCCAUCAAAAUUUUGAGAAGCAAUAAGAAGUUUGGUUAGUGUUUUGGAGUCAAAUAUGACUAGAUGUCAUGUGUAUGAUUGAGUAUAAGAACUAGAACCGCAACCGUUUCCCGAAAGCUAAAGUAGUGUUUCCUUGUUAGAAGCUACAAAGCCAAAGACUCAUACAGACUUCGGCUACACCAUCAAAGUUUUGAGAAGCAAUAAUAAGCUUGGUUAGUAUUUUGGAGUCAAAUAAGACAAGAUGUUAUGUGUUUGAUUGAGUAUAAGAACUAGAACCGCAACAUCUUCCGAAAAGCUAAAGUUGUGUUUCCCUUCUAGAAGAUACAAAGCCAAAAACUCAUACGGACUUUGGCUACACCAUCAAAGCUUUAAGAAGCAACAAGAAGUUUGGUUAGUGUUUUGGAGUCAAAAA